GACGAACGCUGGCGGCGUGCUUAACACAUGCAAGUCGAACGGAAAGGCCCUGCUUUUGUGGGGUGCUCGAGUGGCGAACGGUUGAGUAACACGUGAGUAACCUGCCCUUGACUUUGUGAUAACUUCAGGAAACUGGGGCUAAUACCGGAUAGGAGCUCCUGCUGCAUGGUGGGGGUUGGAAAGUUUCGGCGGUUGGGGAUGGACUCGCGGCUUAUCAGCUUGUUGGUGGGGUAGUGGCUUACCAAGGCUUUGACGGGUAGCCGGCCUGAGAGGGUGACCGGCCAAAUUGGGACGGAGAUACGGCCCAGACUCCUACGGGAGGCAGCAGUGGGGAAUAUUGCACAAUGGGCGGAAGCCUGAUGCAGCAACGCCGCGUGCGGGAUGACGGCCGUCGGGUUGUAAACCGCUUUCGCCUGUGACGAAGCGUGAGUGACGGUAAUGGGUAAAGAAGCACCGGCUAACUACGUG
rnacentral:rRNA from 1 species